rnacentral:snRNA from 14 species
AGCCGUGUGGUGAAUACAAAGCGAACUAUUCUUUCGCCUUUUACUAAAGAAUACCGUGUGUUCUCCACGCUAAACGGCAUACACCAAUUUUUGGAGGAGUAACUUCAUCUGAAGUUU